AAGAAGGAGGACGAUGAGAAAAAAGAUGAAGAGCAGAGCGAUAUUGUUCUGUCAGCAGCAGGUGGUGUGAUUCCAGGACCAGAUGAAAAGGUUCCUGGCAAGCUUCAAACUUCAGACGAUUGCAAAGUCUCCUCUACAUUGGCUGCAGGGGGAGUAGAGGCAGUACCUGAGGAUGGCAACCUGAGUGAUGAUGAAGGAGGAGGGGAAGAGAAGGACAAAAAGAAGAAAAUGAAAAAGAAAAAGGAUUCCAGCUCA